rnacentral:rRNA from 1 species
CUUAAGUGGGGAAUAACGCAUCGAAAGGUGUGCUAAUACCGCAUAAUCUCUGAGGAGAAAAGCAGGGGAUCGCAAGACCUUGCGCUUUUGGAGCGGCCGAUGUCUGAUUAGCUUGUUGGUAAGGUAAAAGCUUACCAAGGCUUCGAUCAGUAGCUGGUCUGAGAGGACGACCAGCCACACUGGGACUGAGACACGGCCCAGACUCCUACGGGAGGCAGCAGUGGGGAAUUUUGGACAAUGGGGGCAACCCUGAUCCAGCCAUGCCGCGUGAGUGAAGAAGGCCUUCGGGUUGUAAAGCUCUUUCAGCCGGAACGAAACGGUUACGGUUAAUACCCGUGACUACUGACGGUACCGGAAGAAGAAGCACCGGCUAACUACGUGCCAGCAGCCGCGGUAAUACGUAGGGUGCGAGCGUUAAUCGGAAUUACUGGGCGUAAAGCGUGCGCAGGUGGUUUUGUAAGUCAGAUGUGAAAUCCCCGGGCUCAACCUGGGAACUGCGUUUGAAACUACAAGGCUAGAGUGUGGCAGAGGGGGGUGGAAUUCCGCGUGUAGCAGUGAAAUGCGUAGAGAUGUGGAGGAACACCGAUGGCGAAGGCAGCCCCCUGGGUCAACACUGACGCUCAGGCACGAAAGCAUGGGGAGCAAACAGGAUUAGAUACCCUGGUAGUCCAUGCCCUAAACGAUGUCAACUAGUUGUCGGGCCUUAACGGGCUUGGUAACGUAGCUAACGCGUGAAGUUGACCGCCUGGGGAGUACGAUCGCAAGAUUAAAACUCAAAGGAAUUGACGGGGACCCGCACAAGCGGUGGAUUAUGUGGAUUAAUUCGAUGCAACGCGAAAAACCUUACCUACCCUUGACAUGUAUCGAAGCCCGCAGAAAAGCGGGGGCGCCCGAAAGGGAACGAUAACACAGGUGCUGCAUGGCUGUCGUCAGCUCGUGUCGUGAGAUGUUGGGUUAAGUCCCGCAACGAGCGCAACCCUUGUCAUUAAUUGCCAUCAUUUAGUUGGGCACUUUAAUGAGACUGCCGGUGACAAACCGGAGGAAGGUGGGGAUGACGUCAAGUCCUCAUGGCCCUUAUGGGUAGGGCUUCACACGUAA